rnacentral:rRNA from 1 species
GACGAACCGUCCUAACGUUGUUCGGAAUCACUGGGCUUAAAGGGCGCGUAGGCGGCUUGCCAAGUCAGGGGUGAAAUCCUGCAGCUUAACUGUAGAAGGGCCUUUGAUACUGGCGAGCUCGAGGGAGGUAGGGGUAUGUGGAACUUCCGGUGGAGCGGUGAAAUGCGUUGAUAUCGGAAGGAACGCCGGUGGCGAAAGCGACGUACUGGACCUCUUCUGACGCUGAGGCGCGAAAGCUAGGGGAGCAAACAGG